rnacentral:tRNA from 1 species
UGGCACAGUGGUUAAUGUGUUUGACUGCUAAUCGAAAGAUCGGCGGUUCAAACCCACC